AAAAGAAGGAAUCGUCUCUUGUAAGCCACAUGAGGAAAAGAAAGAUUAGUUUAAAAGCAAAGCUAUACCAAAUGUCACCAAAUGAAUGAGGAGCAUAUGCAUAUCAUGGAAGAUAGAGGAGGAGAACCCAAUAUGUGGGAAUGGAGUACAGUAUCAACAAGCUUCAGGAGCAGCCACUAAAAGCAGUUCAUAUAUGUAAGGAUCUGCUAUGCCUCCCUUCUG
rnacentral:lncRNA from 1 species